rnacentral:rRNA from 1 species
UACGAAGGGGGGCUAGCGUUGCUCGGAAUCACUGGGCGUAAAGCGCACGUAGGCGGAUCUUUAAGUCAGGGGUGAAAUCCCAAGGCUCAACCUUGGAACUGCCUUUGAUACUGGGGAUCUCGAGUCCGGAAGAGGUUGGUGGAACAGCUAGUGUAGAGGUGAAAUUCGUAGAUAUUAGCUAGAACACCAGUGGCGAAGGCGGCCAACUGGUCCGGUACUGACGCUGAGGUGGCGAAA